rnacentral:tRNA from 1 species
GAGGAUAUAGCUCAGAGGUAGAGCGCAUGCUUAGCAUGCACAAGGUCCCGGAUUCAAUCCCCAGUUCCUUCA